rnacentral:rRNA from 1 species
GGGGGGGGGGGGGGGGGGGGGGGGGGGGGGGGGGGCGGGCGGGGGGGCCCUGCUGUGGUGGGGUGCUCGGGUGGCGGACGGGUGAGUAACCCGUGGGUCACCUGCCGUUGACUUUGGGAUAACGUCGGGACACUGGGGCUAAUACCGGAUAGGGGCUCCUGCUGCAUGGUGGGGGUUGGACAGUUUCGGCGGUUGGGGAUGGCCUCGCGGCGUAUCAGCUUGUGGGUGGGGUAGUGGCUUACCAAGGCUUUGACGGGUAGCCGGCCUGAGAGGGUGACCGGCCACAUGGGGACUGAGAUACGGCCCAGACUCCUACGGGAGGCAGCAGUGGGGAAUAUUGCACAAUGGGCGGAAGCCUGAUGCAGCAACGCCGCGUGCGGGAUGACGGCCUUCGGGUUGUAAACCGCUUUCGCCUGUGACGAAGCGUGAGUGACGGUAAUGGGUAAAGAAGCACCGGCUAACUACGUG